AACGAACGCUGGCGGCAUGCCUAACACAUGCAAGUCGAACGAGACCUUCGGGUCUAGUGGCGCACGGGUGCGUAACGCGUGGGGAUCUGCCCUUUGCUUCGGAAUAACAGUUAGAAAUGACUGCUAAUACCGGAUGAUGACUUCGGUCCAAAGAUUUAUCGGCAAAGGAUGAACCCGCGUAGGAUUAGCUAGUUGGUGGGGUAAAGGCCUACCAAGGCGACGAUCCGUUAGCUGGUCUGAGAGGAUGAUCAGCCACACUGGGACUGAGACACGGCCCAGACUCCUACGGGAGGCAGCAGUGGGGAAUAUUGGACAAUGGGCGAAAGCCUGAUCCAGCAAUGCCGCGUGAGUGAUGAAGGCCUUAGGGUUGUAAAGCUCUUUUACCCGGGAUGAUAAUGACAGUACCGGAGAAUAAGCUCCGGCUAACUCCGUGCCAGCAGCCGCGGUAAU
rnacentral:rRNA from 1 species